CCACCUCUUCCCAUUCCGAACAGAGAAGUUAAGCCCGCCCGCGCCGAUGGUACUGCACACCCGUGGGAGAGUAGGUAGCCGCCGUUU
rnacentral:rRNA from 1 species